rnacentral:rRNA from 1 species
CCUACGGGAGGCUGCAGUGGGGAAUAUUGGACAAUGGGGGCAACCCUGAUCCAACCAUGCCGCGUGUGUGAAGAAGGCCCUCGGGUUGUAAAGCACUUUCAGUGAGGAAGAACGCCUGGUGGUUAAUACCCAUCAGGAAAGACAUCACUCACAGAAGAAGCACCGGCUAACUCCGUGCCAGCAGCCGCGGUAAUACGGAGGGUGCGAGCGUUAAUCGGAAUUACUGGGCGUAAAGCGCGCGUAGGUGGCUUGAUAAGCCGGUUGUGAAAGCCCCGGGCUCAACCUGGGAACGGCAUCCGGAACUGUCAAGCUAGAGUGCAGGAGAGGAAGGUAGAAUUCCCGGUGUAGCGGUGAAAUGCGUAGAGAUCGGGAGGAAUACCAGUGGCGAAGGCGGCCUUCUGGACUGACACUGACACUGAGGUGCGAAAGCGUGGGUAGCAAACAGGAUUAGAUACCCUGGUAGUC